UACGAAGGGGGGCUAGCGUUUGUUCGGAAUUACUGGGCGUAAAGCGCGCGCAGGCGGUCUUCCAAGUCAGUGGUGAAAGCCUGGAGCUCAACUCCAGAACUGCCAUUAAAACUGUUAGACUUGAGUACGAGAGAGGUGAGUGGAAUUCCCCAGUGUAGAGGUGAAAUUCGUAGAUAUUUGGGAAGAACACCAGUGGCGAAGGCGGCUCACUGGCUCGUAACUGACGCUCAGG
rnacentral:rRNA from 1 species